AGUUCUAACAAAUUGGGGAACUGGUAAAGGAAACCUAGAUCCAAGCGGUAAAACAAGACCUUCCUGCUCCUCCUCCCUCACCCGGCGGCGGCUCCCUGCCCCUGCCUGCGCAUGCCUCUUCCUCCUUCUGACAGCGGCAGCGGUGAGCAUGAGAGCGGCGGAAGUGGCUGGACACCAUAAGCUGCCCGAGGUGGUCUACGGCGAGGAACGACCGCGCCCGACGCGGUCCUCCAACCCAUACUUCCCAACCCGGUGCAUGCCCAAGGAUUCCAGCGCACCUCGAAGGAAGGACCAAGGCCUGGGACUACUUGUCCUCUUCUUCCUCUAACAUCUCCCUGCCAGCUGCUGCUUAUUAGUAGGGAGGGAGGGAGGGAGGGAGCGAAAAAGAUAGAUGGCGGCGGCGGCUGGACCUGGCUGAGUUGUUUGGGGAGUUGCGCACACGUCGAGCGACGGUGAGCGCAUCCGACGCCGAUACACCGAGAGUCCUCAUCUCCCUAUCUGUGUCCCUCAGUUUUCUAUUGGCCAAAACAAAAGAUUCAAUCUAUUGUUGAAAGACCAACUUGUCCGCAAAAUACCUUGCAAACUGCAGCACGUUGAGCUAGGAGGUCUGUGCGAGUUAGAGGUUAUAUGAGACAAGGGCUUGGUCCUAUUAAAUGGAAGGGCCAUAAUUAUUAGUCCAAGUGAUAUUGAAGUUACAUUUGAGAAUUUUCCCUACUACCUUAGCGAGAAUACGAAGGAUGUCCUCUUAUCAUGUUCAUUCCUACAUUUGGAAAAGAAGGGAUUCAUUGAGUAGUUCUCGGAAGUUUCUUCAAUAAACCAGCGAAUUUAUCAUCUGGUCCAUCAGGUUCUGAGAUUUAUUAGGAAACAUUGAUGAAGGCACUUGCCAAACAUUUUGGUGCUAUACUACUUGUUGUUGAUUUGUUGCUAUUGCCGGACAUACUGAGAACUUCAUGAAUACCUUAAAUAGUGAUAUUUCUGUGUUGAUUUUUUUUGAAACAAAAUUGUAUGUGGCUGUCCAUGCACACACGGUAUUCAAUUUUUUAUAUAGUGUAGAAGUGGUGUGGAAGUUAAAGCAUCUGUGACUGCAUGUGGAUAUAUUUUGUCAAGCCAUGUAACAUUGCCUUUAAACAUGAUUUAGGAUUUUCAUUAUGUGCAACUCUGCCCAGAUUGAGUACCAAGUUGUUUGUUUCGUGCCUAGGUGAGGUCAUUAUGGCGGUACUUGAUGCUCUAAUGUUCAUCUGUGUUAUGGAGUUGGUUCUUUUGAAGUUAAAAGUAGUUGUAUGUUCGUACGAUGCUCUUCUCAGGUUUUAAGCCUAGGUUGUUUUGCGUACUGUGGUUGCCCUUUAUUCCACAUGGUCUAUGAGUUGUGGGGAUUUAGGGUCUAGGAACUGACAGGCUCUUGUUUCUGUUGCUGAUUAGAGCUUUGGUUAAGGUGCGUUCUUUUUUAGUGUAGUCGGCAUUCUGUUGUUGCUCCUGUGAUAAAUUGUUAGUUAGACUUGUGCUUAACUAGCGAUUCUUACAGAGAUGUACCUUCAGUGAGAAGAAAAGGCCAUAUUUUUUGCUAGCAAGGAUGACGAUCUUGCAGCUUUCUGCGCAUAGUUUCAUUCUUAUCUUAUAUACUUUAUUUAUAGCAUAUAAAUACAGGAAUAUAGCCGUCCUAUGUUAGAGUCUGAAUUAGAAUCCAAAUCAGCAAUUGUAAAAAUGAACAAUAACUUCUAUUUCGUCAUAUAUGCAAUGUCCCCAAUUUUAUUGUUUUUCCUUUUUGGUUCUAUAGGAUUGCAACCGGAGGAGCCGGAGAACACGACCCCUGUCCUAUGUGCGACCAUAUCCCCCAUGGCUCCUACAAGGAACAUAUCGGCCACAGUUUUUUAGGGAACUCUUUUGAAAGGCAUGUGUGUACAGAACACAUGUUUCAUCGUCUUCUUUUUUUUUCAUGAGUUGUUGAACAGAUCUUAUGAAGCUUGAUUGAUAGUGUUUCAACUCAGAUGAAGUGUUCUGGAUGAUCAGUUUUGCAGAUCCUGGAGAUCAUUAUACCUUUUGUACAAUGCACUGUUCGGGAGUGUUGCAUGCCUUUGUAUUGUGUUCCUGAACCUUGCUAAGUUUGUCCAUGUCCAA